rfam:Streptomyces sp. CB02056 scaffold3, whole genome shotgun sequence.
AGCCCCUCGUGUGGCGUCAUCUCUCUGAACCCCCCCAGGGCCGGAAGGCAGCAAGGGUAAGAGGGCUCUGGCGGGUGCGCGAGGGGUCUUU